rnacentral:rRNA from 1 species
UGAUGCUUGGGAAUCUAGCUUAUGGAGGGGGAUAACUACGGGAAACUGUAGCUAAUACCGCGUAGAAUCGAGAGAUGAAAGUGUGGGACCUUCGGGCCACAUGCCAUAGGAUGAGCCCAAGUGGGAUUAGGUAGUUGGUGAGGUAAAGGCUCACCAAGCCGACGAUCUCUAGCUGGUCUGAGAGGAUGACCAGCCACACUGGGACUGAGACACGGCCCAG